GCCGUAUUCUGCUUGUGUUAUUUUUACUGCAGUUGCUUUGCAUUGUUGUAUCUGUGCGUAUAUAAGCUAUUAUAUUGUAUAAGUUCAUUAGUAGUUUAUGGUAUUGUGUAUGAUACAUAUGAAUGUGUGCUGUGCAUCAGGGCUGCUUGUGGAAUUGUGUGUGGAUGGAUAUGUCACAUUGUGUGUUUGGUAGUGGGUGUGGGCUGUUUGGGGUAUUGCAUUUGAGAGGCUGCAUGUGGGGUUGUGUGCAUGUAUGUGGAUUGUUAGCGGGUUAC
rnacentral:lncRNA from 1 species